UGGGGAAUAUUGGACAAUGGAGGCAACUCUGAUCCAGCAAUGCCGCGUGUGUGAUGAAGGCCCUAGGGUUGUAAAGCACUUUCAACGGUGAAGAUGAUGACGGUAGCCGUAGAAGAAGCCCCGGCUAACUUCGUGCCAGCAGCCGCGGUAAUACGAAGGGGGCGAGCGUUAUUCGGAAUUAUUGGGCGUAAAGGGCUCGCAGGCUGCUUGAACAGUUAGACGUGAAAUCCCCGGGCUCAACCUGGGAACUGCGUUUAAUACUAGCAAGCUAGAGAGAUAGAGAGGAAAGUGGAACUCCCAGUGUAGAGGUGAAAUUCGUAGAUAUUGGGAAGAACACCAGUGGCGAAAGCGACUUUCUGGCUAUUUUCUGACGCUGAGGAGCGAAAGCGUGGGGAGCAAACAGG
rnacentral:rRNA from 1 species